AUUGCUUCUCGGCCUUUUGGCUAAGAUCAAGUGUAGAAUCUGUUCUUAUCAUUUUAAUAUCUGAUACGUCUACUAUCUGGAGACUAUAUAUUAAAUGGAUUUUUUGAACAGGGAGAUGGAAUUAGAGCUUGCUCUGUCCACUCCAUGCAUUGACUUGGUAUUGUAGUACCUCCAGGACCGGUACACAAGGA